rnacentral:rRNA from 1 species
AGAGUUUGAUCCUGGCUCAGAACGAACGUUGGCGGCGUGGAUUAGGCAUGCAAGUCGAACGGGGUGGGGGCAACUCCACCUAGUGGCGAACGGGUGAGUAGCGCGUGGGAAACCUGCCCUCGAGACGGGGAUAACACUUCCAACGAGGUGCUAAUACCGGAUAAGACCACGGGAUCGCAUGGUCCUGGGGUCAAAGAUGGCCUCUGCUUGCAAGCUAUCACUUGAGGAUGGUCCCGCGUCCCAUUAGCUUGUUGGCGGGGUAAAAGCCCACCAAGGCGACGAUGGGUAGCUGGUCUGAGAGGAUGGUCAGCCACACUGGGACUGAGAUACGGCCCAGACUCCUACGGGAGGCAGCAGUCGAGAGGCUUCGUCAAUGGGGGAAACCCUGAACGAGCGACGCCGCGUGGGCGAUGAAGGCCUUCGGGUUGUAAAGCCCUGUCGUGCGGGACGAAGGAUCCAGCGGCAAACAGUCGCGGGAUCUUGACGGUACCGCAGAAGGAAGCUCCGGCUAACUCCGUGCCAGCAGCCGCGGUAAUACGGGGGGGAGCGAACGUUGUUCGGAAUCACUGGGCGUAAAGGGCGCGCAGGCGGCCUUGUAAGUGGGAUGUGAAAGCCCCUGGCUCAACCAGGGAAAUGCGUCCCAUACUGCUGGGCUUGAGUGCAGGAGAGGAUGGGGGAAUUCCCGGUGUAGCGGUGAAAUGCAUUGAUAUCGGGAGGACACCAGUGGCGAAGGCGCCCAUCUGGCCUGUUACUGACGCUGAGGCGCGAAAGCCGGGGGAGCAAACAGGAUUAGAUACCCUGGUAGUCCCGGCUGUAAACGGUGGCACUAGGUGUGGGGGCAUCGACCCCUCCCGUGCCGCAGUAACGCAUUAAGUCCCCCGCCUGGGGAGUACGACCGCAAGGUUGAAACUCAAAGGAAUUGACGGGGGCCCGCACAAGCGGUGGAGCAUGUGGUUUAAUUCGAUGCAACGCGAAGAACCUUACCUAGGCUUGACAUGCGCCGGACAGGUGUGGAAACACACCCCUCCUUCGGGGCCGGUGCACAGGUGCUGCAUGGCUGUCGUCAGCUCGUGUCGUGAGAUGUUGGGUUAAGUCCCGCAACGAGCGCAACCCUUGUCCCUAGUUGCUAACAUUCAGUUGAGCACUCUAGGGAGACUGCCGUCGAUAGGACGGAGGAAGGUGGGGAUGACGUCAAGUCCUCAUGGUCCUUACGCCUAGGGCUACACACGUGCUACAAUGGCCGGUACAAAGGGUUGCAAGACCGCGAGGUGGAGCCAAUCCCAAAAAACCGGUCUCAGUUCGGAUUGCAGUCUGCAACUCGACUGCAUGAAGUCGGAAUCGCUAGUAAUCGCUGAUCAGCAGGCAGCGGUGAAUAUGUUCCCGGGCCUUGUACACACCGCCCGUCAAGCCACGAAAGCUGGUAGUACCCGAAGUCGCUGUCCUAACCGCAAGGAGGGAGGCGCCUAAGGUAAGGCUGGUGAUUGGGGCUAAGUCGUAACAAGGUAGCCGUACCGGAAGGUGCGGCUGGAUCACCUCCUU